rnacentral:rRNA from 1 species
GAUGAACGCUGGCGGCGCGCCUAACACAUGCAAGUCGAACGAUUAAAGCACCUUCGGGUGUGUAUAAAGUGGCGAACGGCUGAGUAACACGUGGGCAACCUGCCCCUUUCAUUGGGAUAGCCACGGGAAACCGUGGAUAAUACCGAAUACUUCGAGACUUCCGCAUGGAAGACUCGAGAAAGCUCCGGCGGAGAGGGAUGGGCCCGCGGCCUGUUAGCUUGUUGGUGGGGUAACGGCCUACCAAGGCAAUGAGGGGUAGCUGGGUUGAGAGACCGACCAGCCAGAUUGGGACUGAGACACGGCCCAGACUCCUACGGGAGGCAGCAGUGGGGAAUCUUGCACAAUGGGCGAAAGCCUGAUGCAGCGACGCCGCGUGCGGGAUGAAGGCCUUCGGGUUGUAAACCGCUUUCAGCAGGGACGAGGCGAAAGUGACGGUACCUGCAGAAGAAGCCCCGGCUAACUACGUG